AUUGAACGCUGGCGGCAUGCCUUACACAUGCAAGUCGAACGGUAACAGGUCUUCGGAUGCUGACGAGUGGCGAACGGGUGAGUAAUACAUCGGAACGUGCCCGAGAGUGGGGGAUAACGAAGCGAAAGCUUUGCUAAUACCGCAUACGAUCUCAGGAUGAAAGCAGGGGAUCGCAAGGCCUUGCGCCCACGGAGCGGCCGAUGGCAGAUUAGGUAGUUGGUGGGGUAAAAGCUUACCAAGCCGACGAUCUGUAGCUGGUCUGAGAGGACGACCAGCCACACUGGGACUGAGACACGGCCCAGACUCCUACGGGAGGCAGCAGUGGGGAAUUUUGGACAAUGGGCGCAAGCCUGAUCCAGCCAUGCCGCGUGCAGGAUGAAGGCCUUCGGGUUGUAAACUGCUUUUGUACGGAACGAAAAGACUCCUUCUAAUAAAGGGGGUCCAUGACGGUACCGUAAGAAUAAGCACCGGCUAACUACGUGCCAGCCGCCGCAGUAACAC
rnacentral:rRNA from 1 species